AUCGCUUCUCGGCCUUUUGGCUAAGAUCAAGUGUAGUAUCUGUUCUCAUCAGUUUAAUAUCUGAUAUGUCCUCUAUAUGAGAGACCCUCAAGAUUUCCAUGAGGGGCAGAAAUUUGGAGCUUGCUCCUUUCUCUCCACGCACGACCUAGCAUUGCAGUGUCGCUGGGAGCGGUGCCUCUGUU